rnacentral:rRNA from 1 species
AGAGUUUGAUCCUGGCUCAGGAUGAACGCUGGCGGCGUGCUUAACACAUGCAAGUCGAACGGACGAUGAAAAGCUUGCUUUUCAGAGUUAGUGGCGGACGGGUGAGUAACGCGUGGGUAACCUGCCUCAUACAGGGGGAUAGCAGCUGGAAACGGCUGAUAAAACCGCAUAAGCGCGCAGCAUCGCAUGAUGCAGUGUGAAAAACUCCGGUGGUAUGAGAUGGACCCGCGUCUGAUUAGCUGGUUGGUGAGGUAACGGCCCACCAAGGCGACAAUCAGUAGCCGGACUGAGAGGGUGACCGGCCACAUUGGGACUGAGACACGGCCCAAACUCCUACGGGAGGCAGCAGUGGGGAAUAUUGCACAAUGGGGGAAACCCUGAUGCAGCGACGCCGCGUGAAGGAAGAAGUAUCUCGGUAUGUAAACUUCUAUCAGCAGGGAAGAUAAUGACGGUACCUGACUAAGAAGCCCCGGCUAACUACGUGCCAGCAGCCGCGGUAAUACGUAGGGGGCAAGCGUUAUCCGGAUUUACUGGGUGUAAAGGGAGCGUAGGCGGCGGAGCAAGUCAGAAGUGAAAGCCCGGGGCUCAACCCCGGGACGGCUUUUGAAACUGCCCUGCUUGAUUUCAGGAGAGGUAAGCGGAAUUCCUAGUGUAGCGGUGAAAUGCGUAGAUAUUAGGAGGAACCCCAGUGGCGAAGGCGGCUUACUGGACUGACAAUGACGCUGAGGCUUGAAAGCGUGGGGAGCAAACAGGAUUAGAUACCCUGGUAGUCCACGCCGUAAACGAUGAAUAAUAGGUGUCGGGGGGCCAUAAGGCUUUCGGUGCCGCAGCAAACGCCAUAAGUAUUCUCACCUGGGGAGUACGUUCUGCAAGAAUGAAACUCUAAAGGAAUUGACGGGGACCCGCACACAGCGGUGGAGCAUGUGGUUUAAUUUGAAGCAACGCGAAGAACCUUACCAGGCCUUGACAUCCCGGUGACCGUCCCGUAAUGGGGACCUCUCUUCGGAGCCCCGGUGACAGGUGGUGCAUGGUUGUUGUCAGCUCGUGUCGUGAGAUGUUGGGUUAAGUCCCGCAACGAGCGCCACCCCUAUUUUCAGUAGCCAGCAGGUAAAGCUGGGCACUCUGGACAGACUGCCGGGGAUAACCCGGAGGAAGGCGGGGAUGACGUCAAAUCAUCAUGCCCCUUACGGCCUGGGCUACACACGUGCUACAAUGGCGUAAACAAAGGGAAGCGAGCGGGUGACCUGGAGCGAAUCCCAAAAAUAACGUCCCAGUUCGGACUGUAGUCUGCAACCCGACUACACGAAGUUGGAAUCGCUAGUAAUCGCGAAUCAGCAUGUCGCGGUGAAUACGUUCCCGGGUCUUGCACACACCGCCCGUCA